rnacentral:rRNA from 1 species
AUGGCUUAUGCAUCUGCUUGUAGGACGACCAUCAUCCUACUCGCCGCCGUUUUAGCCGUGUUGGUCCUGCCAUCCUUAGCUUGUCGAAAGGCUCGAGCUCCGGCCCCGGCUCUGGCUCUGUCUCCGGCUCCGGCUCCGGCCCCGGCUCCGGCGCCCAUGCUAUUGUGCCAGGAUUGUGACUCGCGGUGUCAAUCGGCUUCGAUGUGCGAUGCCUACGUUGCCGCGGCGGGGUGCGGAAAUGCCUGCAGCGGCGCGACGCCGGACUGCGAGCCCUGCAUGUCCGAGGUCCUCCAGUCCUGCACGGCCAGCUGCAACGAGGGCUGCACCAGGAACUGCGUUGGCCAGUGCGACUGCGCCGGCUCAUGCAGCCAAGCCUGCGGCGAAGGCGCCCGGAGUACAUGUCAGUACAAGUGCGUCUACUCCUACUACGCGGUCAAAUCAUGCCACGAAUGCCAGGACAGUGCCCGCACGCGGUGCACCGAUACCUGCAACACCGACUGCAAGGCCAACUGUGUCAGCAGCUGA